AAUUACUCAAAAGAUUAGUCUUCUUAGGUGUAAACUAAGAAUUGUCUGUCCUUUGAAAAACGUCUACUGUGAUUGGUAGAUGAGAGAACUUAGGGGAGGUGACAUAGGAGAAAAUUCCCUAUAUAAGGACAGAACCAGUCUCUUGAUGAGAGGCAGAAGAAUCCCUCUAAGGAGAAGGAUGGCUGGCUGAACUGGUGUCUAUAUUCUUGCUUGGACAGAUCUUGUGAAAAACUCUGGCAUUCUUGGCAGAUGAACAAUGAUCAAGAAAACCAAAGACAGACUACAAUAAGUUACUUCUUCAACCCACCAUAGAAGUACAGAAAAAUCAGCCAAGGUCUCCCACCAGCAAAGCCCAUGCCAGUAGCAGUACCUCUCAACAGUGCCCGAAAUGGUUUCAUGCAGAUACAGGAUUGAACUGCUGGUCCAAAGAGGUAUAAGAAUACUCUACACUUUCUCUAACUUCACUGACCUUGGUCCCUUACUAGGAAGAGAUGGAGAAAGGAAGAAGGCUGACUCCCAGAUGCUUACUGCUUGUUUACUUCAAACUUACACUGGAAAUUCACAGUUACUUGAAACCAGCUAAAAGCAUUCCCAGAAAAACUUCAGCUUGGAAAAUGUAGCCCAAAGAUGGGAUCAGGAGACAUUCUUCAAGCAAAAGCUUCCAAACCUCUGAGUCUGACCACCUGAGGAAGGCACCCAUCUCUUUCCUUUCAGCUGAGCUAUAGAUCCAUCAUUUAUUCAGCCACUAGAAUUAUAUAGAUCCAACCCCCUGGGGAAGCCUACAUAUAUAUCCUUACACAUGGAAAAGGGGUACAGAUUGAAGAGACAGAGACAGAGACAAAGAGAGAGACAGAGAGAGAGAGAGACACAGAGAGAGAGAGAAAGAGACCGAGACAGAGAGACAGAGAUGUUUCCUCUGGAAUUUGGACAGAACUCAAUAUUGAGUCUCAGCUUCUGGGAGGACUAGGUGGGGCUUUUCUACUUUUGUACCUUUUAAGUGCAUUACAAUUAAACAUUGAUAUUUGCUUCCUUGGGCAUGUAAGCCACAUCAUAAAUGUUAGAUUUCCAG
rnacentral:lncRNA from 1 species